rnacentral:rRNA from 1 species
UGUGUAGGCGGUUUGGAAAGUUGGAUGUGAAAGCUCCUGGCUUAACUGGGAGAGGUCGUUCAAUACUACCAGACUAGAGGAUGAGAGAGGAAAGUGGAAUUCCGAGUGUAGUGGUGAAAUGCGUAGAUAUUCGGAGGAACACCAGUGGCGAAAGCGACUUUCUGGCUCAUUUCUGACGCUCAGACACGAAAGCUAGGGUAGCAAACG